AGUAUUAUGUCUGAUAAAAGUAAUAAAUUGUAAAUUUAUUUAUGAAAAUAAUAUUUUCUAAUACUA
rnacentral:tRNA from 1 species